AGGGUCCCGGCCAGGCAGCUUAGAGAGCCGCAGGGAUGCUGCCAGUGACCGCUCACCUGGCGGCCUGAAAGGGCACAUCAUGCAGUUUCAGGCUCAGGCCUGGGAGUGUUCACGCAUUUGGGGUCAGGUCCCUUCUCCUCUCUGGCCAGCUCUGGGCGCCUGUGUGAGCCACCCAUCCUCCAAGCCUGAGUUCCUGCAGCUUCCAGAUGGGGACAGCGCCGGGAGUUCCGGUCCAUCAUGGUCAGAGGACACGGGUUUCUCCCAGGCGCCUGCUCCAACGCAGGCUCGAGAGCUUCCACAGUGAGGACCUGAUGCCCAGCAGAGACACAGCACUCUGCCCCACGAUGCCAGCACCCCAGAACACAGUACCCUCAGCAGCCAGGAGAACCUGCCACCCAGAUGGGCCUCUCCACCAGGAGGCAUCCAGAAGAGGGGUGUGGCCCAGCACCAGGCCUGGGGGUCCCUGUGCCCCAGGAGCAGAGGAGGGUCACCCUGGAGUAGUUCCUGGAGGAGCGUGACCAGGCUCUCCCCUACUCUGUGCGGCCCUGGAGCACUCUUUCCUCACUCCCCCCUCACAUGGACCUGGACCAGAGGGGAGACCUGGGCAGCAAAGUCACAGAGAGGGAUGGGGUGGGCUGGCAACCUGGCGGCAGAGCUGGCUG